GCUGUCGCUCAGUGGUAGAGCGCUUGCCUAGCAUGUGUGAGGCACUGGGUUUGAUUCUCGGCACUGCA
rnacentral:tRNA from 1 species